rnacentral:lncRNA from 1 species
GGGAGCCUGGUGGGCUUCCGUCUAUGGGGUCACACAGAGUCAGACACGACUGAAGUGACUUAGCAGCAGCAGCAGCAGCAGCAGCAGUAAUCAAUAAGGCACUGUGCUAAGCACUUGUACAUAUGGGGUUUUUUUCAGUUUAACUCAAAAAAAAUAUCAGGUAGGUACUAUUGCUGUUUCUAUUUGUCAAAUGGAGAAAUUGAUACAUAGAAAUAGUAACUAGGAGGUAAAAUUUAUUAUAUUAUUGAUCUAUUUAAAUUUGUAUGUUGUAAUUAGAAAAGAGUCACCAAGGUCUAAAGCCUGGCAGCCUGGCAAUUAAAUCCCCCAGUUUCAAAAUGCCCCAGGAAUGGAAGUGUAUGUAUGCUGAAAUAUACAUAUAUAUAUGUAUGUAUGUAUAUGUAAUUCUUUUCUUUUGGCCCCACCACCCGGCUUGUGGGAUCUUAGUUCCCCAACUAGGGAUUACACCUAGGCCACAGAAGUGCCGAGUUUAACCACUAGACCACCAGGGAAUUCCCUGAAAUAUAUAUUUUUACUAAAUGUAUAUUCUUUCCCCCCCUGCAAUGUCUGGUCGUAAGGAGAAGUUCCCUUUAAAAAGAACUGCCAAAGCAUCCUGAGUUAAUCUGGGUGCCGUGCACUCAGCCCACAGAUGCCAAUGCCGCCAUCUUGAGUGGAGAUGGCAUAGCCUCCCUUUGGCACCAGGAACUCCAGAGGGAAGAGCCUGGGGCAAGGCCUCCACGCAGCAUCCCAGGAGCAAAUAAAGCUGAACUAAGACAAAGGAAAAAACAAGGAGAAGACCAGGUGCAGAAAGCUCUGAUACAGCCCUGCAACUGGAGGGUUGUAUCAGGAAAUCUGCCAGGAAUGGGGGCAUCUGUGGAAAGAAAACAGAGUCAGCCACAAAGAAACAGCAAAGAAGGUGACAAACCUCCCAAGGUGGCUCCAGGCCAACGUAACAGGCGCCACAGACAGACAGCUUAA